ACAGGUAUUGGACGCGAUUCUACGUGCACAUCGCCUAAAUAGCCUAAAAUUAAAAUGUCUAAGUUUUAAUCAUAUUUUAGACGGCGGAUUUAACAAGUGCUAUUCCAGAACGUCAAGCUGACUAAAUUUAGCCAGAUUUUAGACGGAUUCUAAAAUUUCUAAGUUGAAUUGAGUGUGUUGCCACUUUAAAAAAAUAAGUGAACGAAUGAAUGAAUGAUAUCUGUAUAAAAACUGUAAAAUCGUAUUUUCUUUUGGGUGAAAUAUGAUAAUUUAAUGAAUUUUAUUCCAUUACAUAUAUUUAACACUAGUGUACACACCUUAGACCACUAAAACGUUACUUUUUAAUUAUGUAAUUAAAAAUAAUUAAUCAAAUUUUAAUAGGCAACAUUUAAAAAAAUCUGCUGUCAAGUACGAAGAAGUUUGUAAACUUGUUUGUAUUCCAAUUUGUUUGGUUUUGUUUGUGGAAAACGUGGAAAAUGUCGGUGUCGCGAAAGCGGAGCAAUAAAACGCAACAGGAGGUGCUCGUAGAGCAUCUCCAUGCUAACUUGAUGUUAGCAAGAGGAAAUACGGCUAGCCCUAAAGUGGCAGCAUUUUAGGCGGCCCUAACUGUUACUCUUAAUAGUCACGGAUGUCGAAGGACAGUGGCGGAGUGGCAGAGUAUUUGGUCGCAGUGGACACAGAAGGUCAAAUCUAAGUACAGAAAAUACAGAGAUCAAACGGAGGGCACUGGUGGAGGUCCUGCAUUAGUCCGCCCACUGACAGACACAGAACUUAAGGU